GAUCCUGGCUCAGGAUGAACGCUAGCGGCAGGCCUAACACAUGCAAGUCGAGGGGCAGCGGGAAUUGAGCUUGCUCAAUUUGCCGGCGACCGGCGCACGGGUGCGUAACGCGUAUGUAACCUACCCUGAACUGGGGAAUAACACUGAGAAAUCGGUACUAAUACCCCAUAAUACACUGGAAGGCAUCUUUUGGUGUUGAAAGCUCCGGCGGUUCAAGAUGGACAUGCGUUGUAUCAG
rnacentral:rRNA from 1 species